UACGUAGGUGGCAAGCGUUGUCCGGAUUUACUGGGCGUAAAGGGCGCGUAGGCGGCACUGCAAGUCAGUUGUGAAAUCUCCGGGCUUAACCCGGAAAGGUCAACUGAUACUGCAGGGCUAGAGUGCAGAAGGGGCAACUGGAAUUCUCGGUGUAGCGGUGAAAUGCGUAGAUAUCGAGAGGAACACCUGCGGCGAAGGCGGGUUGCUGGGCUGACACUGACGCUGAGGCGCGAAAGCCAGGGGAGCGAACGGG
rnacentral:rRNA from 1 species